GCGCCCGUAGCUCAGUUGGUAGGGCGGUGGAACGGUGAUCCACAGUCCCAGAUUCAAGUCCCGGCGGUCGCU